UACGGAGGGUGCAAGCGUUAUCCGGAAUCACUGGGUUUAAAGGGUGCGUAGGCGGUUCGAUAAGUCAGAGGUGAAAGCUAGCAGCUUAACUGUUAAAUUGCCUUUGAUACUGUUGGACUUGAAUCAAGUUGAGGUAGGCGGAAUGUGACAUGUAGCGGUGAAAUGCAUAGAUAUGUCAUAGAACACCAAUUGCGUAGGCAGCUUGCUGGGCUUGAAUUGACGCUGAGGCACGAAAGCGUGGGGAUCAAACAGG
rnacentral:rRNA from 1 species